UGUCGUCAGCUCGUGUUGUGAAAUGUUGGGUUAAGUCCCGCAACGAGCGCAACCCUUAUCCUUUGUUGCCAGCGGUCCGGCCGGGAACUCAAAGGAGACUGCCAGUGAUAAACUGGAGGAAGGUGGGGAUGACGUCAAGUCAUCAUGGCCCUUACGACCAGGGCUACACACGUGCUACAAUGGCGCAUACAAAGAGAAGCGACCUCGCGAGAGCAAGCGGACCUCAUAAAGUGCGUCGUAGUCCGGAUUGGAGUCUGCAACUCGACUCCAUGAAGUCGGAAUCGCUAGUAAUCGUGGAUCAGAAUGCCACGGUGAAUACGUUCCCGGGCCUUGUACACACCGCCCGUCACACCAUGGGAGUGGGUUGCAAAAGAAGUAGGUAGCUUAACCUUCGGGAGGGCGCUUACCACUUUGUGAUUCAUGACUGGGGUGAAGUCGUAACAAGGUA
rnacentral:rRNA from 1 species